AACGAAGUUGCACCUUCGGGAGUAACUGAGUGGCAGACGGCUGAGUAACACGUGAAUGAUCUGCCUUCGGGUGAGGAACAACGGAGAGAAAUUUCUGCUAAUACCUCAUACGAUCCACAAUCUAAGUUUGUGGAUGAAAGGUGCCGGGUAACCGGUUUCCGCCCUUAGAUGAGUUCGCGGCCUAUCAGGUAGUUGGUGGGGUAAUAGCCUACCAAGCCUAAGACGGGUAACUGGUGUGAGAGCACGACCAGUCAGAGGGGGACUGAGACACGGCCCCCACUCC
rnacentral:rRNA from 1 species